AUCCAGCUGACGAGUUUCAAAUAGGACGAAACGCACGUCAAACUGGAU
rnacentral:hammerhead_ribozyme from 1 species